AACGAACGCUGGCGGCAUGCCUAACACAUGCAAGUCGAACGAGACCUUCGGGUCUAGUGGCGCACGGGUGCGUAACGCGUGGGAAUCUGCCCUUGGGUUCGGAAUAACUCGCCGAAAGGCGUGCUAAUACCGGAUGAUGACGUAAGUCCAAAGAUUUAUCGCCCAAGGAUGAGCCCGCGUUGGAUUAGCUAGUUGGUGAGGUAAAGGCUCACCAAGGCGACGAUCCAUAGCUGGUCUGAGAGGAUGAUCAGCCACACUGGGACUGAGACACGGCCCAGACUCCUACGGGAGGCAGCAGUGGGGAAUAUUGGACAAUGGGCGAAAGCCUGAUCCAGCAAUGCCGCGUGAGUGAUGAAGGCCUUAGGGUUGUAAAGCUCUUUUACCCGGGAUGAUAAUGACCGUACCGGGAGAAUAAGCUCCGGCUAACUCCGU
rnacentral:rRNA from 1 species